rnacentral:rRNA from 1 species
GAUGAACGCUAGCUACAGGCUUAACACAUGCAAGUCGAGGGGCAGCAUGUCGGUUGCUUGCAACCGACGAUGGCGACCGGCGCACGGGUGAGUAACGCGUAUCCAACCUACCCUUGUCCAUCGGAUAACCCGUCGAAAGGCGGCCUAACACGAUAUGCGGUUCUCAGCAGGCAUCUAACGAGAACGAAAUGUGAAGGAGAAGGAUGGGGAUGCGUCUGAUUAGCUUGUUGGCGGGGUAACGGCCCACCAAGGCGACGAUCAGUAGGGGUUCUGAGAGGAAGGUCCCCCACAUUGGAACUGAGACACGGUCCAAACUCCUACGGGAGGCAGCAGUGAGGAAUAUUGGUCAAUGGACGGGAGUCUGAACCAGCCAAGUAGCGUGCAGGACGACGGCCCUAUGGGUUGUAAACUGCUUUUAUAGGGGGAUAAAGUGUGCCACGUGUGGCAUAUUGCAGGUACCCUAUGAAUAAGGACCGGCUAAUUCCGUGCCAGCAGCCGCGGUAAUACGGAAGGUCCGGGCGCUAUCCGGAUUUAUUGGGUUUAAAGGGAGCGUAGGCCGUCUUAUAAGCGUGUUGUGAAAUGUCGGGGCUCAACCUGGGCAUUGCAGCGCGAACUGUGAGACUUGAGUGCGCAGGAAGUAGGCGGAAUUCGUCGUGUAGCGGUGAAAUGCUUAGAUAUGACGAAGAACUCCGAUUGCGAAGGCAGCCUGCUGUAGCGCAACUGACGCUGAAGCUCGAAAGCGUGGGUAUCGAACAGG